GCGUUGUAUAAUCAUGUAACAACUGCUCUUAUUCAAGCACCGCGAAAAAAGAAAAAAAAAAGAACUUUGAAAAAUAACACCUACAUUAUUACUACUUCAUCUCCAACAUAUCUGAUAGGGAACUCAUUACCUGUAAGACGACAGUUCAAAUCAAAAGCUGAAAAGAAGAUUAGAAAUCAGAGCAGCGGCCACCACGCUCCCAGUCACCAUAGCGGGUGGGUUCAGGACCUUUAGGGCCUCCAAUCUCACCAGUCUUUUUGUUAACAUUAGAAGUAUCCUCUUCGUCAUUGUUGUCCUCAAGUUUAAUAUUCCCUUCAUUUUCGUAAUCAACCUUCUCCUUCUCAUCCAAAGUAUGAGCAUCAUGCUCUUCAUCAUGAUCCUGGUUGAUUUGCUCUCCUUGAGUUGAAGAGC
rnacentral:misc_RNA from 1 species